UUUUAUCAGAGAGUUUGAUCCUGGCUCAGGAUGAACGCUGGCGGCGUGCUUAACACAUGCAAGUCGAACGGGAAACCUUUUAUUGAAGCUUCGGCAGAUUUAAAUUGUUUCUAGUGGCGGACGGGUGAGUAACGCGUGGGUAACCUGCCCUAUACAGGGGGAUAACAACCAGAAAUGGUUGCUAAUACCGCAUAAGCGCACAGGACCGCAUGGUCCGGUGUGAAA
rnacentral:rRNA from 1 species